rnacentral:rRNA from 1 species
CCUACGGGUGGCAGCAGUGGGGGAUAUUGCACAAUGGGGGAAACCCUGAUGCAGCGACGCCGCGUGGGUGAAGAAGUAUUUCGGUAUGUAAAGCCCUAUCAGCAGGGAAGAAAGCAGACGGUACCUGACUAAGAAGCCCCGGCUAACUACGUGCCAGCAGCCGCGGUAAUACGUAGGGGGCGAGCGUUAUCCGGAUUCACUGGGGGUAAAGGGAGCGUAGAGGGCCUUGCAAGCGAGGAGUGAAAGCCCGGGGCCCAACCCCGGGACUGCUCUUGGAACUGUGCGGCUGGAGUGCGGGAGGGGCAGGCGGAAUUCCUGGUGUAGCGGUGAAAUGCGUAGAUAUCAGGAGGAACACCGGCGGCGAAGGCGGCCUGCUGGACCGCGACUGACGUUGAGGCUCGAAAGCGUGGGGAGCGAACAGGAUUAGAUACCCCUGUAGUC